UUUCCGUAGUGUAUUUCUGUAUUGUUUUAGUGAUUCACCAUAGAGAAGAUGUAGGCUCAGGUUUUCCGUAGUGUAUUUCUGUAUUGUUUUAGUGAUUCACCAUAGAGAAGAUGUAGGCUCAGGUUUUCCGUAGUGUAUUUCUGUAUUGUUUUAGUGAUUCACCAUAGAGAAGAUGUAGGCUCAGGUUUUCCGUAGUGUAUUUCUGUAUUGUUUUAGUGAUUCACCAUAGAGAAGAUGUAGGCUCAGGUUUUCCGUAGUGUAUUUCUGUAUUGUUUUAGUGAUUCGCCAUAGAGAAGAUGUAGGCUCAGGUUUUCCGUAGUGUAUUUCUGUAUUGUUUUAGUGAUUCACCAUAGAGAAGAUGUAGGCUCAGGUUUUCCGUAGUGUAUUUCUGUAUUGUUUUAGUGAUUCGCCAUAGAGAAGAUGUAGGCUCAGGUUUUCCGU